UACGUAGGGUGCAAGCGUUGCUCGGAAUUACUGGGCGUAAAGCGUGCGCGGGCGGUUUUGUAAGACAGAUGUGAAAUCCCCGGGCUCAACCUGGGAGCUGCAUUUGUGACUGCACGGCUGGAGUGCGGCAGAGGGGGAUGGAAUUCCGCGUGUAGCAGUGAAAUGCGUAGAUAUGCGGAGGAACACCGAUGGCGAAGGCAAUCCCCUGGGCCUGCACUGACGCUCAUGCACGAAAGCGUGGGGAGCAAACAGG
rnacentral:rRNA from 1 species